CGCCCCGGGCCGACUUUCACCGACCGCCCGUCGAGGUGAUCUGCGCCUUCAUCGAGGAGCACCGUGACGAGCACGGGGUCGAGCCGAUCUGCCGCGAACUGCAGGUCGCCCCA
rfam:Arthrobacter sp. Hiyo1 DNA, contig: contig00872.